GGACGGACCUCUGGUGUACCGGUUGUUCUGCCAAGGGCAAUGCCGGGUAGCCACGUUCGGGAGGGAUAACCGCUGAAGGCAUCUAAGCGGGAAGCCCGCCUCAAGAUAAACCAUCCCUGAGGGUUUAACCCUCCUGAAGGCACCAGGAAGACUACCUGGUCGAUAGGCCGGCGGUGCAAGCGGGGCAACCCGUUCAGCCGACCGGUACUAAUCUGCCGUGAGGCUUGGCCAU
rnacentral:rRNA from 1 species